rnacentral:misc_RNA from 1 species
UAUGGUUACAUGAAAUCAUUUAAGCUUUCAUCGCCUGAUAUAUGCAUCCCAUGUAAAAAUCUUUCUACUUGGAACUUGUAGAUUAAACCUAAUACUAAGUGCAUUUAUCAAUUUGAUAAAAUAUUAAAUUCAAGUCUUCCUUCUGAUCCAUCAAGAAGUAUAAGAGAGAAAAAUUAAAAGGAAAAUAUAUGUUAAGUGUUUG